UCCUGGAAUCUUCUUUUUGACUCUCCCUUUAUAAAACCAACAGAGGAGAAUCAGAAUUCCUUCACGACGACAGAAAUCCUUCUGUUAGUUCUCCAAUUUCUUUGAUUUCACCAACAAUAACUAUAACUAGUAUCUGUUAUUUCGUCAUUUCCUGUGCCGAAGAUGAGUGACCCCAAGUAUGCUUAUCCAUAUCCUGCUCAAGGCUAUUAUCAAGGGCCUCCUGUAAUGGCACCUCCACAAUAUGCUGCUCCACCACCCAGGAGAGGACCAGGUUUCCUUGAAGGAUGUCUUGCAGCCUUAUGUUGCUGUUGUCUCAUUGACGAGUGCUGCUGCGAUCCGUCCAUCAUCUUCGUGAGCUGAUCCUUCCUGUGUCUCUGUUUCUGUUUCUAUCUGUUGUAACGAUGGGGUGUGAUCCUGUUUGUAGACUUAAUGAUAUCUCAGUAUCCAUCCUUUCUCUAAUUUCUAAAUAAUAUAUUGGGUAAGAUAGAUAAAUCACUGGUUUCUUCUUUGUUUUUGUUUUUUUUUUAUCCUUUCUUUCGAUAAAGAUUAAUCAUGGAGGAGAGAUUGGUGGAUGUGAGUAAGACAAUUUGGUUGAUGAAGUCUACUAUCCAGGUCCCGAACUCUAACAUGGACUCGUGGAAAAAGUUGCUUCUCAUUUUCUAAAGUAAACAAUGACAGCGACGUUGAUACUCUGUUUUCAUACGCUUACUACGCCUAUAUAUGCAGUAGCAUUAAUAGGUUCUACCUGCCUCUGCGGCUCUGCCUACCAAGGGGAAAACAAAUUAAUCUGAAAAAAUGUAGGGGCACGAAAUAACGCACUGCUGUUACUGGUUGCACCUUACGCUAUUCAGUGUUGAGCAUCUGAUGAUCUAACUGAUGAUGGAAACUUAUUCGUUAAGUGACUCACUUGAAAUGUUUGCUUAUUAUUGAUGGCUUGGCAAAGCCAUCGAUAGAAAUGCAUUUUUUGCUGAGAUAAGAUUUUCUGCACCAAUGCCCACCACUCCACCAGAUGAGUCAUCACGUUGCA